UACCUUAUCAUCACCCUGCUUAAAAUCAAAAGCUCCAGGUCCAUCUGUUGUUCCAGCAGCAAAUGCAAAUCCCAUCGCCGCAGGGCAUGUCUUGACUACCUCGGAAGCCCCUCCUUUGGAAAGAGUUACCUCAUGCUUCGAGAAAUCUAUGUAGGUAUGUCGAUAAUCAACCUUCCCUUUAAUUUGUUCAGAUGCUCCAUUGAACAGAUCAACUGCUUUCCUAAAUUGCCUCUCCCCUAUAAUACGUGUACUUUCAAAUUCAUCUGGGUAACUGCCACAUUAGUUACAGGAUGCAAUUUAGUAAUCAUGAAGACUUUGGUAAAUUUGCAUGAACCAGAGAGAGAGAGAGAAAAGCUGGGCAUGCAACGAAGACGCCUUCCAGCCAUUGUUGUAAAUUCUGUCAGAAUUUAGAAAAUUACAACAAGCAUGAUGCACAUAAAGAAAUACAUAGGUUCAAUUGGUUUGUCUCAUAAAAAUACAUAUAUGCAUAAGGAGUACCAUGGAUUUCCAAAACCAUAAAAUAUAAAGGUGCAGCAACAUAUUAUGAUGAAAAUUUGGAUUUCGUUAAAUAUUUAUACACACAUAAGAAAACAAACCAGAUGUGAUUAACUACAACCAAGACAUGGAAUUGUAACCAUUACUGUAAGAAGCCAUAGCAACUAAUUAUCAUCAUCUCAAUAACAGCUGAACAUGUUUGAGUUCUUUUAAGCUUGAAGAUGUACAACAACUUGAUCCAGGCAUGUUCAUUUUUCAUUAAUAUUCAUUUAUAUAUUACUUCUCAUACCACUAAGAUCAUUGGUAGUUAAACUUAACAUUUCAAAUUGUGAAGGAUAGGAAUUCCAACAGCAACAUCUUUAAUAGGAAACAACAAUAUGAGGUCAUACCUCCUGGUACACUUAGAAUAACAAACUGCCCAACUCGGAGGAUCUGGAUUGGAAGAACUGAGGGCUGCAAUGAACAUGAGUGAAAAAAGGUCUAGUUAAGUAAAAGUGGUCCUUUUAUUAGCACAAAUUAUAUCUAUACGGCAGAAAAACAGAUGCAGAGAGACUUUCUAUAUGGAACUUAAGCAGUUGAGCUUCACUCACCAGAAAUCAAAUAAACACCUUGAAAAAACGUACAUCAUAAGAACUAGAGAAUGCAAACUAGGACUUCAACCCAAACAUAAAACAAAAACAAACAAGAAUGCACGUCGUAACAAUGGUUUGAAUUUAUUAAAGGAACUAAAAUGAAGAAGCCAAGACAUUUCAUCUUUCAGCAAACAUAGAGAACAUAACUGAACUGAGCCGGGAAACAAUAAAUCAUAAUAUUCAGGACAAAUGAAUAACUUACUGCCCAGUCAUAUGGUAGCUUCAUUUCACCAGUAUCAAGCAAGAUGGGCUUAGGCUGUUGACAGUUUAUUUGUUCCUUGUUUGGCGUUUUAAGUAAGUUGCGGACCAAGUUCCAGAAAGGAUUUCCCUGACAUGAAUUAAAACAAACAGUAAGGAUACAACAACAAAGCCUUAAAAUAAUAAGCAUAGACUACCAAAAAGAUUUAAGAAUGUGAGUUUUAGGAUAACGGGUGAGCAUGUGGUACAGAACCAGUGAUUACCUUAUCAUCACCCUGCUUAAAAUCAAAAGCUCCAGGUCCAUCUGUUGUUCCAGCAGCAAAUGCAAAUCCCAUCGCCGCAGGGCAUGUCUUGACUACCUCGGAAGCCCCUCCUUUGGAAAGAGUUACCUCAUGCUUCGAGAAAUCUAUGUAGGUAUGUCGAUAAUCAACCUUCCCUUUAAUUUGUUCAGAUGCUCCAUUGAACAGAUCAACUGCUUUCCUAAAUUGCCUCUCCCCUAUAAUACGUGUACUUUC
rnacentral:lncRNA from 1 species